rnacentral:rRNA from 1 species
UAAUAUGGUCGGGGGAUGACGGUACCGGAAGAAUAAGCACCGGCUAACUACGUGCCAGCAGCCGCGGUAAUACGUAGGGUGCAAGCGUUAAUCGGAAUUACUGGGCGUAAAGCGUGCGCAGGCGGUGAUGUAAGACCGAUGUGAAAUCCCCGGGCUUAACCUGGGAACUGCAUUGGUGACUGCAUCGCUGGAGUAUGGCAGAGGGGGGUAGAAUUCCACGUGUAGCAGUGAAAUGCGUAGAGAUGUGGAGGAAUACCGAUGGCGAAGGCAGCCCCCUGGGCCAAUACUGACGCUCAUGCACGAAAGCGUGGGGAGCAAACAGGAUUAGAUACCCUGGUAGUCCACGCCCUAAACGAUGUCAACUGGUUGUUGGGGAUUCAUUUCCUUAGUAACGUAGCUAACGCGUGAAGUUGACCGCCUGGGGAGUACGGUCGCAAGAUUAAAACUCAAAGGAAUUGACGGGGACCCGCACAAGCGGUGGAUGAUGUGGAUUAAUUCGAUGCAACGCGAAAAACCUUACCUACCCUUGACAUGU